rnacentral:lncRNA from 1 species
GGGAGUUUGGGUCGCACCUGGUUAGCUUGUCCAAGAGUGAUUCUGCAGGCGUUCUCAGCUGCUGGAUGCUGGGCAGAGCUUGAAGAUGUCAUUGUGGCAGUGAUGAGCUGUUUAUGGAACAAACCCUACAGCUGCUCCAUGGGGCCCAGGUGGCCCGGGCUGGGGGGAAACCCCCCUACACCCCCCGCGGGCUGCGCUCCUCCAUCUUCGCGGGGCCUCGGCCGCCACUUCCCCUCGGAGCCA